rnacentral:lncRNA from 1 species
UUUAAUAAUUCGUGGAAUCCACAGCAGGGCAGGGGUACGCCUCUGCCUGCAUCUGUGAGUAUCGUUUUCCCACUGUUGUGCGCUACGUGCAGUUUUGCUGGGGGAGGGUUGCAGCGGUUGUGCGGUAACAUUGCUGGCCCGUGUCUGUCUGUUUCAGGGCGGUGCUACAAGGGAGCCCGUGUUCAGGUGUGGAGUGUGGCUGGACUGUGGGAUUACUGGACUGUGGAGGAAAUUUUAGCGUAUGAUUUAGAUCCACCAGUUUUAGCGGCUAAGGAAGCUGCAAUAAUCCCCCCCCCGCCCCCCAGGACCCGGAGGCAGAAACACAUAGAUCCAGGAGAUUCAGCCCAUCCACAGCUGCAUCCAUCAUGAGCUGAGUCCCAGGGAACCAAAGGCAAUGACACCCCAGAGGCUAGUCACGCUGGCAUGAGCUAAUACCAGGACUCCGCCAAAGUCAGAGACAGCAUCCACCGCACCCACCUCAAAAAUCAGUCUAGAGUGUGCAGAUGAGUCUUGUUGCUCAUAUGCACACUGCAACACCAAUCAUCUAUUCAAGUGACAGCAGACACGCAGACGUUCCCUCACCUGAAUGCCUCACUUUUCCCAAAGGACCCAAGGCAUGACUUUCUAACUUGGGCCAACCCACUACAAACAACAAAAUGGCCAGGGGGAUACAAACCACCCCUGCUCAAGGAGGGACCUAACCAGAAACUAGCUAACCCCAGCCACCAAGGUCCCACAUCUAAACUUGCCCAGGAGAGUCCAUCCAGCCCACCAGAGAAAAGCAUCUCUCUCCAAAAUAUAUGGAUUUUCACUAAAUUCAUAUUUUACACAAUUUAAAAGAAUAGCAAUGAAGUUAUGCAAAGUGUUUAGCAGCUAAUUUGUCAUUUGCCAUAGUAGGAGCCCUGUACACAAAUGAAUCUAGUAUGAUUGUGUGUGCCGAACAUGCCCUGUAGAGGUCACUGGGUCACUUUGUAUAUCUAAAUAUGAACAUUUGUAACACUGGCGGUUAUUCGACUGCUUUGAUCUCAUUGCUCUCUGUGUGUGUUGUUAUUAAAAUAAAAUGA